UACAGAGGUGGCAAGCGUUGUUCGGAAUUACUGGGCGUAAAGGGCGCGUAAGCGGCCUUCUAAGUCAGACGUGAAAUCCCCGGCUUAACCUGGGAACUGCGUCUGAUACUGGAGGGCUUGAGUAUGGGAGAGGGAUGUAGAAUUCCAGGUGUAGCGGUGAAAUGCGUAGAUAUCGGGAGGAACACCCGUGGCGAAGGCGGCCAUCUGGACCAGCACUGACGCUGAGGCACGAAAGCGUGGGGAGCAAACAGG
rnacentral:rRNA from 1 species